UAAUACCACUACUAUUGAACAAGUUUUUAAAUUUUCUGAAAACUAAAUGGAAAAAAGGGUAGUAGUUCAAAAAUUAAAUUUACUCCAACAUCGAAUAAAUUUACACCAUGGUAUGGAAUAGAAUAAGUACGACCCAACACCAACAAGGAACAAAAAGCAAGAUAGCAUUUGUUUUAAUACAAAAGAAGUUUCAAGAAUACAAUCAUGAUUACACAAUGG
rnacentral:lncRNA from 1 species